GGUGCAGCCCUGCCUUCAACACUUUUUAACCAGGAGCUCACAUCCUGGGCAGGAGUCAUUCCUGUGAGGACACAGCAUGGCCAUGAGGGUCCCCGCUCAGCUCCUGGGGCUCCUGCUGCUCUGGCUGCCAGGAACCAGAUGCGCCAUCCAGAUGACCCAGUCUCCUCCCUCCCUGUCUGCAUCUCCAGGAGACAGAGUCACCAUCACCUGCAGAGCCAGUGAGGACAUUUACAAUGCUUUAAAUUGGUAUCAGCAGAAACCAGGGCAAGCUCCCAGGCUCCUGAUCUAUGCUGCAAGCAACCUGCAGUCUGGGGUCCCAGCGAGGUUCAGCGGCAGUGGAUCAGGGCGAGAGUACACUCUCACCAUCAGCAGCCUGCAGCCUGAAGAUGCUGCAGCUUAUUACUGUCAGCAGUAUACAAGUUCCCCUCCCACAGUGAUACACGCUGUGACAUAA